rnacentral:misc_RNA from 1 species
UAGUUUAAGUGUUUAGUUAAAAUGUAUUUAAAAAUAAUUUAAUUUAUCGAAAUUAUUAAAAAUGAUAUGUAAUUAAGUGUUGUAGAUAUUAAAAUAAGAAUAAUGCUGAUAUUUUAAAAAAUAAUAGGAUAAUAUAAUCUUUUAAUUGAUCAAAGGGUAGUUAAAAAAAAAAAAGUUGAUGAGUCAUAAGUAUCAUUACUUACCACUUAGGACUUAUUUUAAUUAGAUUUUUUAUCUUAUAAUUAAAACGAAAGACGGGAGAGAAUCAAUCACCAGCCAAUCUAUUAACCAAUUGUAAAUUAGUUGAAUAUAUGUUCCUAAAUUUCCACGGAUAUGAAAUCAUCAAAGCUGGGUUCCACAGGCUUGAUUUAUUUCCAACCGCUAAACCAUAUUCUAAUAUGCUGAAAAGUAAAAGCAAAGAUAAACCUGACCUGUGUAAAAGCAAGAUUAACGAGAUAGGAAAGGAACUGUCCACCAGUUAUCAUGAGAACAUUUGUGCUCACUAGUGCCCCCCUUACUUCAGAUGGAGAUGCUUCUGCAAUAUACACAGGAGCCGUGACAGAUGCUAUACCCACUCCAAGGCCGACUAAGAGUCGACCCAGAAUAAGAACAUAUGGAUCCGGUGCAGCUGCCAUGACAGCUGAUCCAACUGCAAAGACGACAUCAGCAAUAAGCGUAGCCUUCUUCCGUCCAUACGCAUCGUUAAUCCAACCACCUGAUGCAGCUCCAAUUAUUGCACCAACCAGAGCCAUACUAACAAUUGUUUCCUGUAAGAAGCUACUCUGAUUAACCACCUCAAAUUCGUCUUUUAUGUACAAAAGGGCACCUGAAAUAACACCUGUAUCAUAGCCGAAGAGCAUACCCCCUAUUCCAGCAAUCACAGUUAAUCCCAAAACAUACGUAUUACUGAAAUACGACAUUCUCCUCUCUGGGAACAAAUCCAAGUAACCUGAGCUUCCUGGUAAAGACUCGAUCGUCAUCUUUUUUCUACCUUCUUUCUUUUCACCCCUUGUUCUAGGAACACUGACUGAAAUUACUAGUCGAAAAACACUAAUUGCAAUCUCUAGACGCCCACAAUGGCGCUAUCGGAGCUAAAAAUAUAAUCUUAGAAAAAUGAAUUUACACUUCUGAACUUCCUUAUCGAAUUUAUAAUAAAAUAAUUCACCUCUGUCCCUCCCCCUCUCGCUCUCGCUAGCCACUGUGAGCAGCGUGACAAUUUUGACCGGUCUAAUCGCAGCCACCAGGAAAGGGCGUUUCGAUUUGAAACGAGGCCCAAUGGAACAGUCAACAACCCCUAAAAAAUUGACGAUUAUUGGAAAGCAAGCAAAACAACAAAGGACUGACGAAGGAAAAGAGGGAAGAAAUGGAAAGACGUAAAUCCUUGAGGUUGGUGAUUAGUGAAAUUAGGGGUGGAAAAUGGAAGGCAAUUGGAUGCAGGCACAUUAAGCCUGAAGUUUUUAAGAAAAAUUUUAUUUACUGAUUCUGAGAAUCUUCGCUUGAUUGGAUCAGGAAAUUUCAGAUUCUCCGAGAAAAUGUGAUUGAUAGAUUUUCUCGAGAAAAUUUUGGAGCACCAGAUUUAAAUAAUG